UUCUUUUGUGAUGGUAUCAAAGAAAUAUAAAUAGAUGUAAUAAUUCUGGCAUAAAUGUUACUGAAAUGGGAAAAAUUGGACCUGGUAGUGAGCCAUUGGUGUUUCUUUUCUGAAGCUAGCAUUUAUUUGUUGGAUUUGGUUUCACGAACAUUCGCCUGCAUCUUUGUUCUGCCAGCUCAAAUUUGGUAACUCGUAGAUAAAUAUAAUAUCGCAACUAACUGCUUAUGUGAAUGUUCGUUGACGGUUAUUUAGCUGUAAAGUUGAAUCGAUUUCAUAAUUAUUUGUAAUAGUUUGAUAAAUAAUAGUUAGACAAGUUAACCCAUUGUGAGUUGAUUUUAGAAAUUAUGUCACUCACUUUGAAGAAAGAAUCGUCUGAACAGAUUAUUAUCAGGUUCAUAUUUUCAUUGCCAAGCAUAGGUGCAAAAAUUAUUGACCCAAGAGUCCAUACGUUGACCCUUUUGUACUCCAUCAACAUCGUCCUCUUGAUACAUGUUGCUUGAACUCUGCAUCCAAUAUUUUUCAUCUCCAAGCAUUCCUCAGGUCUUCAUAUAGUACUAAAAUCUCUUGAUACAUUUUGCUUGAACUCUGCAUUCCUCAGGGUUUUUUUUCCCUGCUUGAGGCCUGCCACGUGGCCUCUCGACGGAUUGAGAAUUGGCCAAUAGUUGAUCUCUGCUGUGUUUUUUUGCUUGAUUUGUUUGUUUUUUAUUUGAUUUCUGUAACCUAGAGAGCUCUUCGUCGACGAUCACGUGACGAUGCGGUUUACGAUUGAGAAUUGCCGCUUGAUGAGGAUCUCCCUGGAAUGGGUCAAUUCUAUUGCCUCCAUUGCGAGUAAUUGGAAUUUUCUCAAUGAUUUAGGGUUUCUUUGUUUUUUGUUUGUUUUUGGGGUAAAAAUUCUGAUAUUUGUUUGUUUUUUGUUUCUGCAGUCGAUAUUUUUCUAGCGAGGCUGUGAUGGUAGCGCACAAUGGAUCCAAGAGACACAGGAAGAGGUGUCCUUCUUGAAUAUUGACAAUCAGUUUGUUCAACAUGUUACUGGAAAUAUCCUUUCUUCCCUGUCCUGCUUGCUGACGGAAUUAUGUACGUUUUUAAGAUCAUCUGUAGUUUUUCUGGUGUCAGAUUGCUGGGAUUGAAUUCAUGGAAUCUGAAUCGUAACUCCUUUAUAGGUUUACUCUGAAACAAAGAACUGCCAAAGAUGCCAACGGAGAUAUGUGAGGCAUAACAUCUUCUUUACACAGGUACCUGUUGAUCUUGUUAUCGAUCACUCAGUUCUGGUGGAUGUGGCGAGAUCAGCGAAUGUUGUUCAGGCAAAUUAAUAGGAGUCUUAAAAGGAGUUUCUGAAUGGGAUAAUCCCAGAUUCGAGGGACUUAAACUUAGUAUCAUAUUUGGAGCAAGAGUGUGAGAAGCGGGGAAUGCUUGUAAAUAAUUUAUGUAUCUUUCUAAUUUUUUUUGGUCAAUGUAUUUUUUG